GAUGAAGAACGUAGCGAAACGCGAUAUGUAAUGUGAAUUGCAGAAUUCAGUGAAUCAUCGAAUCUUUGAACGCACAUUGCGCCCCUUGGUAUUCCGAGGGGCAUGCCUGUUCGAGCGUCAUAUUAACCACUCCCGCUUGCGGGGUCUUGGGCUUCGCCUCCGGGCGGGCCUUAAAAUCAGUGGCGGUGCCGUCGGGCUCUACGCGUAGUAAAUUUUCUCGCGAUAGGGUCCCGGUGGAUGCUUGCCAACAACCCCCAACUUCUUAAGGUUGACCUCGGAUCAGGUAGGGAUACCCGCUGAACUUAAGCAUAUCAAUAAGCGGAGGA
rnacentral:misc_RNA from 1 species